rnacentral:rRNA from 1 species
UUUACCUACGGGACGCAGCAGUGAGGAAUAUUGGUCAAUGGGCGGGAGCCUGAACCAGCCAUGCCGCGUGAAGGCGAGUGCCCUACGGGCGUUAAACUUCUUUUGUGCGGGAGCAAUAAGGGCCACGCGUGGCCCGAUGAGAGUACCGCACGAAUAAGCAUCGGCUAACUCCGUGCCAGCAGCCGCGGUAAUACGGGGGAUGCGAGCGUUAUCCGGAUUUAUUGGGUUUAAAGGGUGCGCAGGCGGCACGGCAAGCCGGCGGUCAAAUCGCGGGGCUCAACCCCGCCCAGCCGUCGGAA